AACAGAGACGGAUGCUGCCCGGUGGCAUCUGAGCCCCUCCAACCCACACUCCGGGGAGGGUCACCCGGGCCUUGCUCGGGCUUCCUGCCUGGCACCCAUCCCUGGCCCUCUCUGGCCCCAACUGAGGCAGGGGACAGUGCCUGUCUGAGGUGGCCCAUAAACUCUCCCCACUGAGGUGAGAACGCCCAGGUGCCCCCAACCUAUCGAGGGGUUCCUGCUCAGACCUCUCCCUUAGAUAUUCUGUGACGCAGCUACCAAAAAGCCUACAUCCCUGUUUUAAAGCACAAGGCUAAGAAUGCCAUUCAUCGUUGCUUCCAAUGCAAAUCAAACGUACUCGGAUUCUCCAAAAACAUUCUGACAUCCAGAGACUGGGUGUAGCUCUACUUGCGAGGUGACCUCUUCAUGGAGAGCCAUUUCCAGAUAUUUCCAAGUCUCUCAAUCCCGUGAUGGGCACAGGGGAGGAGGCAAAGCUGCUGGGGGUGAGGAGAAGCCUUGGGAUGGAGCCCCACUUGAGGCCUUGGCUGGCCCGUUUUGCCACCUCGUUCCUUGACGCUCAGUUCUUUAUCUGCAGAAUGAGCACACUGAUGCCUAAAGAGCAUGGUGGAGUAGAAGGGGCAUCCGCUUUGGAAUCAAACAGACCACAGACCUGGUUUUCAACCCCCCACUCUGCCACCUUGGGGAUCAGCAGGUCUCACCCUGUCUCAGGAAGACGUCAGGGGUCAGCACAAGGCCAGACUCCGAGUUGAUGAGUCACUCUGGGAGAAGGCCAAUCGCAGGAUGAAGGUCUGGUUCCAUUAAAAGCAGGCAACGUGGUGGAAAAACGUAUUUUGGAGAAAGCAGUAGAGGGGUGAGGCCAACAAACUUUGGUUCUUCUCCAAGCCAGUACAUCUGCUAUGGCACCCGUGGAGAACCACUGAAAGGUGUGGUGAAAAGCUAGAGCCCACAUGCAUUACUGCUCCUUCUUUCCCACACGUCACCACCACCAUUACCUCUAUUACCACACCUCUCCACCGUCAUCACCGUCUCUGCCCCUACCCCCCAUCACCUCCACUAGCUUCCCUCCAAUGCCAUCACAUUAUUUGGCAAGUACCAUUCUAGGAGCUGUGUUUCCUUUUCAUUUAAUUUAUUUAACAUGAGCUGUUUUCUUUAAUAACGAGGAAACCAUUAGAGACGUCGGGCAACAUGACCAAGGUAUAUGUCUUGGAGUCACAGAGUUGGAAUUCUCACCCAAGCCUGUCUAAUACUAAGGCUGUGCUCUCGACCACUGUGACAGACCGAAGAUGCCCCUUAGGGCUGAAGGGUAGAGUCCAGAUGAACAAACCACAAAGCAAAGGCCGAUCCUACUCCAUCCCACCAACAGCCACUCCUCUCUGCUCACAUGGACGUUCAGUGACACCGUAGUACUCUUUAGAAUCAUGGUGAUUAUUAUCCUUCUUCUCCCUUGGGGCCAUGGCUCCCUUCCUCAUUUUCACCAGCAAGAGGCAGUUGCCACGUCCCUUCUAUUGUAAAUCAUCAUGGCCAUUCUUGCCUUCCUAGUGGGUCACUGUGACCUCUGCUUGAGGAUUUCAGGGAAAUACCAAUUUCUUUCACAAAAGCUCCCCAACAUCUAGCACAGCAGGAGACGUAAGCCAAAUCUUAACGUGUGACCGAACGAAGUGCAGGACCACCUGCUAGCCCCAUGUGCCCUAGGCUUAGGACACACAGCACUGGAAAGGCCACCCUUCCAAGAAUCCCAGGCAUGUGUUCCUUCACAAGAAGAUUAGAGGCCAGGGGAACACAGGUGAGUCAGUCAUGAGCUACAAAGAGUUAAUAUUGGAGCAGACCUGGCAAGGAGGUAAACAGUCUGUCGAAGGUUCCUGAGUCUUUUCUCUGCCUCUGCCAGCACCGGAGCAAUGGCUCAGCCAGGUAGCCGUCUCCUGUUGCUGGCUUGGAAAAUUUUCCAGGGGACUCUUCGAGCAUUAGCAUCUUGGAAUGAACCUGAUCCCAGUUAAAGAACCAAAUGUCAGAAAAGCUGAACAUAAAUCUUGCUUAGGGUAAGGAUUCCUUGACAGAUUUUUUUUUUUUUUUCACUAGGGUUACAAGAAAGAAAAGGCCAGCCUGAUUCUAUGAGCCAUGAUCAUAGUACUUCUCUUUCUGGAAAAAACUUGUGGUUGCAGAGGUUUUCUGUUAUUUGAGCUCCUGGAAACUGUCUAUGGCUGUGGGUCCUGCUCCCACAUCGGGGUGCUGGUUCCAUGGGACACUCCCUGCAGUAGACAGGCAGCGUUAGUCUAUUCUGUCAAAUGAGGUGCAGCUGUAUUCACUGCUUAUAGUGAAAUUCACAGGAAGUUAAACCACAAUCCGUGUUACAGAAUCCAUUCCAGGCAUUUGCAUUUUGCAAUAUUAAAGCAGGUAAAGUACAUCCUCGGGGUCUUCCACCCCCAGCUUCCAGAAGGCCAAUCUUAUACUACUUAUAACAACUGCAGCAGCUAACGUUUAGAGAGACCUUACUCUGCCCUGUUUUACAUCCAUAAUCUCACUAAUCCUCGUGACAAUCCUAUGAGAUACAUACUAUCCCCAUUUUAUAGAUGAAACUGACCCAGAAGGGUUCCAAAGCUUUUCUAAAUUCACACCGAACGUAUGUCAGAACAAAGAUGUGACCUUCAGGCUGUUGGAUUCCAGGGAUCCUGCUACUAACUUCUGGGUAAUGAUACCUCUGGGUAAAAUAAAAGACACUGAACCCCAGUGGGAUUGUUGCUU
rnacentral:lncRNA from 1 species